UCUCAUUGCACUGGCCACAUCCUGUAACA
rnacentral:piRNA from 1 species